CUGGAGCUUGCUCCGGCGGAUUAGUGGCGAACGGGUGAGUAACACGUGAGCAAUCUGCCCUUGACUCUGGGAUAACUGCGGGAAACUGUAGCUAAUACCGGAUACUUUCCUCGGUGGGCAUCCACUGAGGAAGAAAGAAUUUCGGUCAAGGAUGAGCUCGCGACCUAUCAGCUAGUUGGUGAGGUAAAGGCUCACCAAGGCGACGACGGGUAGCCGGCCUGAGAGGGUGACCGGCCACACUGGGACUGAGACACGGCCCAGACUCCUACGGGAGGCAGCAGUGGGGAAUAUUGCACAAUGGACGAAAGUCUGAUGCAGCAACGCCGCGUGAGGGACGAAGGCCUUCGGGUUGUAAACCUCUUUUAGCAGGGAAGAAGCGAAAGUGACGGUACCUGCAGAAAAAGCACCGGCUAACUACGUGCCAGCAGCCGCGGUAAUACGUAGGGUGCAAGCGUUGUCCGGAAUUAUUGGGCGUAAAGAGCUCGUAGGCGGUUUGUCGCGUCUGCUGUGAAAUUUCGAGGCUCAACCUCGAACUUG
rnacentral:rRNA from 1 species